CGCGUAGGUAACCUGCCUUGUAGCGGGGGAUAACUAUUGGAAACGAUAGCUAAUACCGCAUAACAAUGGAUGACACAUGUCAUUUAUUUGAAAGGGGCAAUUGCUCCACUACAAGAUGGACCUGCGUUGUAUUAGCUAGUAGGUGAGGUAAUGGCUCACCUAGGCGACGAUACAUAGCCGACCUGAGAGGGUGAUCGGCCACACUGGGACUGAGACACGGCCCAGACUCCUACGGGAGGCAGCAUG
rnacentral:rRNA from 1 species